CUCAGUUCGGAUUNAAGUCUGCAACCCGACUUCAUGAAGCUGGAUUCGCUAGUAAUCGCGCAUCAGCCACGGCGCGGUGAAUACGUUCCCGGGCCUUGUACACACCGCCCGUCACACCAUGGGAGUCGGGAAUGCCCGAAGUCAGUGACCCAACCUAUAGGAGGGAGCUGCCGAAGGCAGGUCUGAUAACUGGGGUGAAGUCGUAACAAGGUAUC
rnacentral:rRNA from 1 species